GGGUUGUGAGGUUAAGCGACUAAGCGUACACGGUGGAUGCCCUGGCAGUCAGAGGCGAUGAAGGACGUGCUAAUCUGCGAUAAGCGUCGGUAAGGUGAUAUGAACCGUUAUAACCGGCGAUUUCCGAAUGGGGAAACCCAGUGUGUUUCGACACACUAUCAUUAACUGAAUCCAUAGGUUAAUGAGGCGAACCGGGGGAACUGAAACAUCUAAGUACCCCGAGGAAAAGAAAUCAACCGAGAUUCCCCCAGUAGCGGCGAGCGAACGGGGAGCAGCCCAGAGCCUGAAUCAGUGUGUGUGUUAGUGGAAGCGUCUGGAAAGGCGCGCGAUACAGGGUGACAGCCCCGUACACAAAAAUGCACAUACUGUGAGCUCGAUGAGUAGGGCGGGACACGUGGUAUCCUGUCUGAAUAUGGGGGGACCAUCCUCCAAGGCUAAAUACUCCUGACUGACCGAUAGUGAACCAGUACCGUGAGGGAAAGGCGAAAAGAACCCCGGCGAGGGGAGUGAAAAAGAACCUGAAACCGUGUACGUACAAGCAGUGGGAGCACGCUUCGGCGUGUGACUGCGUACCUUUUGUAUAAUGGGUCAGCGACUUAUAUUCUGUAGCAAGGUUAACCGAAUAGGGGAGCCGAAGGGAAACCGAGUCUUAACUGGGCGUUAAGUUGCAGGGUAUAGACCCGAAACCCGGUGAUCUAGCCAUGGGCAGGUUGAAGGUUGGGUAACACUAACUGGAGGACCGAACCGACUAAUGUUGAAAAAUUAGCGGAUGACUUGUGGCUGGGGGUGAAAGGCCAAUCAAACCGGGAGAUAGCUGGUUCUCCCCGAAAGCUAUUUAGGUAGCGCCUCGUGAAUU
rnacentral:rRNA from 1 species